rnacentral:misc_RNA from 1 species
UGCACUUUGCCAGGAACUUGUACCGUUUUAGCCUUGCUGCUAUCUCACAUUCGAAUCGGCACCGUUCCUGCUAGUUCGAGGACACCCUUGCCCACAUGGCUACCGAAGUGGUGGAGGAGGAGUGGCAGGACGGCGUCGACGACUUCUUCGCCGACUUCUCGUUAGCUGCCUCCAAUGAAAAGUCGACGCGACGCAAGAAUGCCGAGGCCCAUCAAGCCAGCGUUGCUCAGUCGCAGAACAAGGUGGAGCGUAGGGAGGCCGACCGCGGCGAGUCGGCCGAGGAAGCCCGCCGACGCAUCACCGCGGCGGUGAUUAGCCGCGCGACCGCAAAGGAACUCGAAAGGGCGGCGCGGAAUGCCAAGCAGCACCAUAAGAUGUCUCAUAAGAAUUGCGACACCGGCGCUUCGUCUGUCAAGUUGGGACACUCUUCAUCUUCUCUGUCAGAGCAGCAUCACGGCUCAUCGACCGCAGCGUCGUUGUCGCCCUCGUUGAAAGUGCACGACUCGACCGCCCAUCAAGUAGAGGCAGCACCCUCGUACUCGCGUCUUUGCAAGAAAAACCAGAAGAUCGACGCCAAGUUUGCCCGAAAAACGGCACGCAAGGAGGCGGCGAAGGAGCACCGUAUCAAGUAUCGCCGCGUCUUACGCAAACAGCGUCGCUGACCCGAGAGUGGCCACGUGGGUGCGUUCGUUGCAAGCUUGCUGCAAUAACCCAUCCACUUACGGCGUUGCCAUCUGCCUCCCGCUCUCUUGCGAGCUUGAGGAGGCAUUUGAGGCGGCGGGAUCGAGUGGGUCGCUUCCCGGGUCGGUAUCUCCCUCCCUCUCUGAUAUUCACCUUCACAUGUGCUCGCGCAACGGAGCCAACGCCGAGCAAAGACGCAAGGGAGCCCUUUGCUCCACAAGCAGAGCGGUAGAUUACCGCUGUAUUACGCGGGAACAGAGUAUUUUUUUUUUUUUCGAAGCUUCAUCGCAUUUUCGCACGGCGGCAAUGAGUUUUUUUCGGCGCGUGGCGUUCGCUACGUGUCCGCGUUCGUGUGCAUGUGUGGCGUACGCGC